rnacentral:tRNA from 1 species
GGGAAAGUGGCUCAGUGGUAGAGCGCUUGCCUUGCAUGCAUGA